AGUAGGGAAUCUUCCGCAAUGGACGAAAGUCUGACGGAGCAACGCCGCGUGAGCGAAGAAGGUCUUCGGAUUGUAAAGCUCUGUUGUUAGGGAAGAACAAGUACCGUUCGAAGAGGGCGGUACCGUGACGGUACCUAACGAGAAAGCCACGGCUAACUACGUGCCAGCAGCCGCGGUAAUACGUAGGUGGCAAGCGUUGUCCGGAAUUAUUGGGCGUAAAGCGCGCGCAGGCGGUUCCUUAAAUCUGAUGUGAAAGCCCACGGCUCAACCGUGGAGGGUCAUUGGAAACUGGGGGACUUGAGUGCAGAAGAGGAGAGCGGAAUUCCACGUGUAGCGGUGAAAUGCGUAGAGAUGUGGAGGAACACCAGUGGCGAAGGCGGCUCUCUGGUCUGUAACUGACGCUGAGGCGCGAAAGCGUGGGGAGCAAA
rnacentral:rRNA from 1 species